GCGACUUUUUCUUCUCUUCCAACCUUGAUAGUGAGUAUUUAAUUGUUUUUCUACUAUAAUUUUUACCCCUGCAAUUUCUUUGUUGUUGCUUAAUGUUUGUUGUGCUGAAGUUAUUGCAAUUGUUUGAUCUUGGUGCUCUAUUUUGUUGCAAUUUAUUGUAAUGAUUAUAUCGUCAUGUUCAUAUUUGCUAUUUUUUUUUAAUUUUCUUAUUUCUUUUUUCCGCACUCAACAUGUUCGAUGAAAUGCUUCAACUAGAUUUCUUUGAAUUCUCUCUUUAUUAUUUCUUCUCUUGAUUUUUUUGAUAUUUUUGUGCCUUGAUGACAUCAUGAAUUGGUUAGUGCUCUUCUUGAAUUAUGCAAAUUGCUACGCUAGAAAUGGAAAAGCUAAUUAGCUGAACUUUAAUCUUGGAUUUCAUCUCUCUAUCUUAUGUCCAUCCUUGUAAAACCUGGUAGUUUUGUUUUGGUGCACCUAUAAACUUGAUGUGAGCUUGAUGACUAAUUUAUAGAAAAAGCUAAAAGUAAAAGACCACCAUCCCUACUAGUAUCAAAAAACCAUCUCUGACUAACUUUCUUGUGUUCAUAUUGACUUAGGUGUCUAACUUCUAUAUUAUAGGAAAUAAAUUAAUGUGGCAUAUGUGUCAUGAGACAGAAAUGGAUUUGCUAAUAUAUAAAUGGGAUCUCCAAUUCUCCAUUGCAAUGAUUGUUACUUAAGAUAUUGUUUAAUUUUAUAGCACAUACCUUAUUGCAUUAAUUCUUGCCGAGAUAUUUGUUGAAGAAAGAAAUCAGUCUAUGUUUUGUGAAUUAAACCGCUUUAAUUUGUUCUGUUAUAAAUUUUUAAAUUUAUAAAUAGGAGCUGAGGGUGUGCAAGUUUAUUUAAUUUAAUUAGUUUCUACUUUCUAGGGUCAAACAUACACUUGAAACUCUUAUAAUAUAUAUGUUGGUUACUGCCAAGUGCCAAAUGUAUCUACUCAAUUGUUAAAGAGUAAAGACAGAGCACAUGGAAGAAAAAGCAGGGGAGAAGGUGUAAUGUUUAUUAGAGUAGUACCAAAUUUAUAUUUUUCUCUAUUCUUGUCUUUUGUCUUGGGUUAGAUGUUCAAUCACAAAAGUGGCAUAUGCAGAGCCUGGCCCUCUCUCUUGAGUAAAUUUGUGAUUAUGACUAAUCUGAAUUGCUUUGAAGUUUGAAGAGGUGCUUUGAAGCUUGUUCUUCAGUUGAUGGAUGUUAAAGGCCUCACAAUUUCACAUGUCAAGAGCCAUCUUUAGAUGUACAGAAGCAUGAGGGGUGACUUGGGAAGACAAGUAUGAAUUCAACGCCGAAAAGGGGGAGGAUAACAAGGAAGAGUUAUACAAUUUUGUCCUAGCUUGCCACCAUACAAAAGUGGAUCGAUCAUUUUGGAGGGUCGACUACCCAUGCCAUCUUUUGACAAGGCACUGUAUAUUUUACUAUUUUUUUACUUUAAUUUUACCAAUCCACAAUGAAUUCAGUAGUUUGCAUAAAUUAAUUAAUCGAAAUCUGUCAAUAACUCAUCAAGAUUGAAUGUCCAUUAAUAUUUGUGUGAUAGAUCUUCAUAAGGCUUUUCAUGUUUAAUUCUUUUAAAGGCUCAAUAAUUGCCACUACAUAUAGAUAGUAGCUUCACUUUUGGUACCUGAACUUGGGAAGCUUGAGCAUUUACAAUAUCUUUUUGUUGUUCUUUCUAAAGUGACUUUAUUUUUUUUCAGUUGAUUUUAAUUUAAUGUAUUUAAUUUACUUGCAUUCUCUUCUUUCUUGGUUUCUUUGUACUGGUGUUUAUGAAUGGAAUUCAUUUUUUGUUGAAGUCCUGUUUAAUACUAAACAUUCUUGGGUAACAUCUUUUAGGAUAAAGUUUAGGAACAUAUGCAUCAAUUCAUGUAAUAACGAAUUAUACUUUAGCUACAUCUGAUGGAGGAGAAGGAGCGGCAGAAAGCCGAAGCAAAGGCUAAGGAGGUUGAGGCAGCUGAGGCUGCAAAAAGAAGUGCUAGAGCUGCAGUUGCUUCAUUGCUUCCUUCCAAGUUGUUUGGGAAUAAGGAUGCUGAUUCAGAGGCUAAAUGAUGCAAAUGCUUCUGAGCCAGGGUUGGUAGAGAGAAUAACUGAAACUGAGGGUUCAGUUAAUGGAGAGACUAAAAAAGAGCAGUCUCAAUUGAAAUCAGGGGGUAGGCAGGAUUCUUGUGAAGAAGAAGCUAUUGAACUUACAGCAGAGAGGGACUGGAUACCAUUGAAGCAAUUGAUUGUGUUUUAGGAUCAUCUUGGAGUUUCCUUUUGGGAACUUGAUUCCAAGUAUAUUGUGUUGGUAUGGUGCAAUCAAAUACUUCAAUGUUUCCUUCUGAAUUGAGAGGUGAAAAGGUAUGAUUAAGGCCUAUCUGUGAAAUCUUUGUCAUGUUUGGAUCAGGAAUUAUGUUAUUAGUAGCUAGUGCUCUUCUUUGUUCUGUUUUAUUAAGCUCUGACACAGUGAAAUCAUAAUUAAGCAUUUAUGGUUGAGUAGAGACGGGUUUUAAACAUCA